AUUGAGUCAGAUUUCGAAAACUCUUACAGCAUGUUUGGUUGGAUGGAAUUACUAUUUCAUUCCGUCACUAUUCCGCGUGCUACAGUAAAGUAAUAGUUUGCUUCACCGUUUAAGUGAUUCAACAAAAUGGCUACUGCACCCUUAUUCCCUCAGCUGCUGUAAUAGCCAUUCAAGGGUUAGGGGUCUGAAUUGCUAUUCAACGCCAGAACCGUAAUAACAUUUUCACAUUUUUGGACCAAAAUAGCCCGCCUCUCUUCUUCCCAAAAUUCUCUCCAGAUUUCUUCCUUAACAUUUAUCCCCAAAUCAAGUCAAGCAUCCAUUCACCCUUCAUCUUCAUCUCCUUAAAUACAGUAAAGGGUACGUUUUCUUUUUUUAUCUGAUUCACUUUUGUUUUCCUUGUUCUUUUCUACAUUCAGCGAAGGGGUGCUCUGAGUUGCUUCUCUUUGGCUCUUUGGACUUAUGCAAAAGGCUUUCCCUAUAGGUUGGAGACAAAGUGCAAAAGGGUCAGGUGUUAUGCAUCAUUGAAGCAAUGAAGUUGAUGAAUGAAAUAGAAAUGAAAAAUCAUUGUUUCAAUAAGCUGAUCAAUCAGGAACCAUAGUCGAGAUCCUUGUAGAAGAUGGCAAAGCAGUCAGCGUUGGUACGCCUCUGUUUGUGAUUGAACCUUGAAAUAAGACUAUCGAGUAGCAAAGUAAAAGGUGGGAAGGAUAGGCAGGCAAGCAAGUUGAGUUGGUGGGAUUUUUCUUCCUGGUAAUGUAGUUUGGAUUCAUUAAAUGGGCAGCUUCUUUUGUGGUCUAGUAGCUUAUUAUAUACUUCUAGUCUUAUAGCCAUAAUAAAUAAAAAUGUUAUUCAAACAAA